rnacentral:rRNA from 1 species
UACGUAGGGUGCAAGCGUUGUCCGGAAUCAUUGGGCGUAAAGCGCGCGUAGGUGGCUCCGUAAGUCCGUUGUGAAAGUCAAAGGCUCAACCUUUGAAUGCCGAUGGAUACUGCGGAGCUAGAGUACGGAAGAGGCGAGUGGAAUUCCUGGUGUAGCGGUGGAAUGCGCAGAUAUCAGGAGGAACACCAAUAGCGAAGGCAGCUCGCUGGGACGUUACUGACACUAAGGCGCGAAAGCGUGGGGAGCGAACAGG